rnacentral:rRNA from 1 species
UACGUAGGGUGCGAGCGUUUAAUCGGAAUACUGGGCGUAAAGCGUGCGCAGGCGGUGAUGUAAGACCGAUGUGAAAUCCCCGGGCUUAACCUGGGAACUGCAUUGGUGACUGCAUCGCUCGAGUAUGGCAGAGGGGGUAGAAUUCCACGUGUAGCAGUGAAAUGCGUAGAGAUGUGGAGGAAUACCGAUGGCGAAGGCAGCCCCCUGGGUCAAUACUGACGCUCAUGCACGAAAGCGUGGGGAGCAAACAGG